AGAAAUUCUCAUGAUGAGCGUGAUAUGUGAUCACCCGAUUUCGCAAAUGCUUGUAUCAAGGUCUAGCCGCCACGUAGUAUUGGUUGUUGCACCAAUAAUCGAUCAGCUUUUGGAGAAAAAAGGCGUCAGAGGCUCCGAAAAGUAUGAUUUUGCUCUUCGAACAACAUACAUAAUCAACAAUAAAUCCUAUAACGACGUAUUGUAAGUAUAAACUUCAUUUAUAUUUCCAAAGUGGAUCAUUUCUUAGCGACCUAACACUUUUUAAUACUUCUUUUUAAUUUCCAGAAUACAAAAAAUGUCGAGCUCAUCUCAGUCCAGACAUCCUUUCAUAUCUAUCCAGCGAAUUGGUACAAACAAAUGGAUUAUCGUGUACGACGAUCACUUGUUACAACACUAUUUACUGGCAAUUUUUAUCAAAAGCGCGCAAACAGAUUAAUAAAAGAUCAAAAUCACAGUUGGAUUUAG